rnacentral:rRNA from 1 species
GACGAACGCUGGCGGCGUGCUUAACACAUGCAAGUCGAACGGAAAGGCCCUGCUUUUGUGGGGUGCUCGAGUGGCGAACGGGUGAGUAACACGUGAGUAACCUGCCCUUGACUUUGGGAUAACUUCAGGAAACUGUGGCUAAUACCGGAUAGGAGCUCCUGCUGCAUGGUGGGGGUUGGAACGUUUCGGCGGUUGGGGAUGGACUCGCGGCUUAUCAGCUUGUUGGUGGGGUAGUGGCUUACCAAGGCUUUGACGGGUAGCCGGCCUGAGAGGGUGACCGGCCACAUUGGGACGGAGAUACGGCCCAGACGCCGACGGGAGGCAGCAGUGGGGAAUAGUGCAGAAGGGGCGGAAGAGUGAUGCAGCAACGCCGCGUGAGGGAUGAGGGCCUGAGGGUUGUAAACGGUGAGCGCCUGUGACGAAGCGUGAGAGACGGUAAUGGGUAAAGAAGAAAAGGCUAAGUACGUG